rnacentral:rRNA from 2 species
UGAGGAAUAUUGGUCAAUGGCCGAGAGGCUGAACCAGCCAAGUCGCGUGAAGGAAGAAGGAUCUAUGGUUUGUAAACUUCUUUUAUAGGGGAAUAAAGUGGAGGACGUGUCCUUUUUUGUAUGUACCCUAUGAAUAAGCAUCGGCUAACUCCGUGCCAGCAGCCGCGGUAAUACGGAGGAUGCGAGCGUUAUCCGGAUUUAUUGGGUUUAAAGGGUGCGUAGGUGGUGAUUUAAGUCAGCGGUGAAAGUUUGUGGCUCAACCAUAAAAUUGCCGUUGAAACUGGGUUACUUGAGUGUGUUUGAGGUAGGCGGAAUGCGUGGUGUAGCGGUGAAAUGCAUAGAUAUCACGCAGAACUCCGAUUGCGAAGGCAGCUUACUAAACCAUAACUGACACUGAAGCACGAAAGCGUGGGGAUCAAACAGGAUUAGAUACCCUGGUAGUCCACGCAGUAAACGAUGAUUACUAGGAGUUUGCGAUACAAUGUAAGCUCUACAGCGAAAGCGUUAAGUAAUCCACCUGGGGAGUACGCCGGCAACGGUGAAACUCAAAGGAAUUGACGGGGGCCCGCACAAGCGGAGGAACAUGUGGUUUAAUUCGAUGAUACGCGAGGAACCUUACCCGGGUUUGAACGUAGUCUGACCGGAGUGGAAACACUUUUUCUAGCAAUAGCAGAUUACGAGGUGCUGCAUGGUUGUCGUCAGCUCGUGCCGUGAGGUGUCGGCUUAAGUGCCAUAACGAGCGCAACCCUUAUCACUAGUUACUAACAGGUGAAGCUGAGGACUCUGGUGAGACUGCCAGCGUAAGCUGUGAGGAAGGUGGGGAUGACGUCAAAUCAGCACGGCCCUUACAUCCGGGGCGACACACGUGUUACAAUGGCAUGGACAAAGGGCAGCUACCUGGCGACAGGAUGCUAAUCUCCAAACCAUGUCUCAGUUCGGAUCGGAGUCUGCAACUCGACUCCGUGAAGCUGGAUUCGCUAGUAAUCGCGCAUCAGCCAUGGCGCGGUGAAUACGUUCCC